rnacentral:rRNA from 1 species
GACAGAGGUGCCAAGCGUUAGGCGGAAUCACUGGGCUUAAAGCGUGUGUAGGCGGGCGGGCAAGUACCUUGUGAAAUCCCACGGCUCAACCGUGGAACGGCUGGGUAUACUGCCUGUCUUGAGCCAGCUAGGGGCGACCGGAAUAGACGGUGGAGCGGUGAAAUGCGUAGAUAUCGUCUGGAACGCCAAAGGUGAAAACAGGUCGCUGGGGCUGAGCUGACGCUGAGACACGAAAGCCAGGGGAGCGAACGGG